UCUGCUCUGAACUUUUUUAGCUUCUGCUUCAUAGUGUUCUCCACAUACCGCUUCUUCUAGUCUAUUAUUUCUCUGGGCCGUCUUUUGUCUUUACCUCUGCUAGUGCUCACAUGUAAGGCUUUUAAGUUGCAUUAAAGAAAACGCUAGAUUAGUGAUAAAAAAGGCAUCUUUAAUACAAAAUAAGGGUAACAUGCAUUAAGUAAGAUACAAGAGAUGAAAGAAUUUAUGAAGGAGAAGCUAAAAAUGCUAUGCUAAGCCAGUUGCUGGCACCAGCUUUCAAUGGCAACAGUCACUGUGUUGAAGAGCAUUCCGUCCUCUAAGCCAACAGGUCACUCGAUUGCAACCAGAAACCCACUGUCAUUUGUCUUGCUAGUUCUUGCAUGAUCUCAGUUGCCUGUCUGUACAUUAAGUUUUAUGCUCAUAUAGUUCUGCAUAGUCUGUAUGUUCUCAUAUACUAUUGUCAUUCAAGUGGUUUUCAACCUUUUUUUGAUUUGUGGAGUGCUCUUUUUGAGGAGAGGCAGGAGCCUUGUGUGGCAGGGCUACAUAUUCACUGAAAAUAGGGUUAUUUUCCUUUAAACACUUAGUAAUUCAUGGAUUGCACACAGUCUGUAUCUCCCUGGUUAAAUAUUGCUGUUAAUAGAUCUCUUUUUUCCCUCAGUUAUUUCCAUUUGUCCCGGCUUGUAGCAAAGGUUAACCCAGCUUCAUUUCUAGUAGUUUCCUUUUAUCCUUAUACUUCCAGAUUUCUGAAAUUAAAUUUUCUUUAUUGAGCAAUAUUAAUGUCUUUUUUUUAACGUAUUUCUGCAUAUUUUAAAUAUCUUGUUUGAUGUAUUUAUUAACUUAGAGUUAUCAUCCCUGCUGUCCCUGUAGGUUGCCCCCCACCUCCCCCUUCGUUAUUUGGCAUUAAAUAUCCAGAAGCUUCUGGGAUUUUUUGACACAAGAAUUGCUGUUGUGUCCUGCAUCAAGUUCCCUAUACUUUUUAAUUUGAUAACCUCACCAGUCAAAUCCCUUACCACCAGAAGAAUCUUCCAGUAAAACAGCACUCUGUUAUUUGUUCAGUAUUUUAGAUACCGCUUUUGCUUAGCACAUCAAUUUUCUUUUGCAGGAGCAGGCUGUCCUCAUGUGCCAAAAGACAAGCUGGCAAGGAAAAAGGCCAGCCUAUCUGAACAGAGCUUUGGCUGGAACUCAGGAAAAAGAGGAGAGUCCACAACCUCUGGAAGAAGGGGCAGUCAACUCAGGAGUGUGCCCAGGUCUUCACAGGAUUGAAAAAAAGGAACAAAAUAAGAUUGAGAUAAUUUGCCACUUCCUUUGGUGUCAUAGUUCUUCAUUGCUUUCCAGUAUCAAGGCAAUGCAGUUAUUUCCAAGACAGGAAGUAUUGGUUCCAGGUCUCCAGUCUGUGACCCACUGAGAAAGCUACUAACUCCAGAAUCGCCUGUUGGUGACCAAAUCUGACAAACUUCAGACCAAUUUAGGGAGUUUUCACCUGACAUUUUUAGGACAGCUUUCUAAAGCUGUGCCAGAUCACUUACAAGUCCAGAUAUCUUCUAAUCCAGGGUAAUGUAAUGAAUUUUAAAUCACUGUCUCCAGAUGUCUAGCACAAAAUAGUUUAAGAGAGCUUAAACUUAAGUCAGCUUUCUGUGGAAAAGGAGUAUAACAUUUUGAUAUUCAUGCAUUAUCUACAAUGUUUCCUGCUUGAUGCAAGCAUAAAAUCAAAGGUCCGUCUUCAGAAAGUGUCUGAUACUGUCAGAGCUACAUGUUACUUCUUAUAGCUCCAAGUGGCCAGAACUGAAGUCAGACUACCUUGGGCAGAUGAUGACCCUAAUUGGUGUCACUCAGACAGAAAAAAAUGGCCCCAC